AGUUCAGUAUAAUUGCUUGAAUACAUUUGCCUUACAGGUCCUAGAAUCUCAACCCACUGAUGGAAGGCCUGCAGUUCACAGUCUUGAUAAAUAUCCUAAUGAUUUUUCCUCCAUGCAUCUCCUCACAGAUUACACUCUCAGAAUCUGGUGGUGGUCUGAAGAAGCCUGGAGAGUCCCUACAUUUGACCUGCACAGUGUCUGGAUUUUCUUUAACAAGCUAUGCAGUGAGCUGGGUCCGUCAACCUCCAGGAAAGGGUUUGGAAUGGAUGGGGAUUGCCUAUGCUACUUCAAGCCCUGACUAUAACAGUGCUCUCCAAAAUCGGAUCAGCAUCACAAAGGACAAUUCGAAAGGCCAGGUGUUUGUUCGACUGGAUGGCUUAAAGCCUGAAGACACAGCCAUCUAUUACUGUGCAAGAAACACAUUGAGGAAAUCCCACUCAGAGGCAGCUCAAAAACCACUCUUCUAA